rnacentral:lncRNA from 1 species
UUGAGCUAAACCAGUUUUGUCUUUCUAUAGUUACUUUUUAACAAUGUAACACUGGUGAAAAAUACAAUAUUUUAAGACAAAAUAGCCUACAUUGAGUGGUUCUAAUUUGUUAUUUUAAGGAGUCUCUCUUUAUUAUAGAUUAGAUUUGUCUUUAUUUUUUAAAUUUUGUAAAACACACUUUCUGUUCUCUCCACAUAAAUAUUGAUAUUCUUUUCUUGUAUAAGACAAUUAUUCUGGUGGUAUAGACUUGAAAUAAAGAGUAAAAGAAGCCUUUAUUACCACAUCAACUCACCAAUAGUUGUCCCAUCUUGUAGAAUUGCGAAACAUCAACUGCAUGUUGCUUCCAUGCAUAAAUGGUAUUUGAUGUUACA